ACUGCUACACUAUGCGUGCUUUAGCUACUGUUUUCAUUUUCAUUGUAUGGUAUGAAACCGAUAUGGUCGCGACUCCGAGGAUAAGAAUCGGAAUCGGAGCCGUACACACCCACCGCCUCACCAUGACCUCCACCUCUCUUUCUCUUCCUCCUCACUCUCUCUUCUUCCUCGGAAAUCGCACAGUCCCUGCUUCCCGUCGUUCUCUCUGUGUCAACUCGCUCAUUUCAACUCGUUCAACUACUCUCCGAGUCAAAGCUUCCUCCGCCGAGCCGCCCUCUUCCCCAGGGCAUGUCAUUUUGGUCCAAAUUGCAGUUUUUAUUGAGUGUAUUUGUUCUUGCUGAUUGAAGCCCUUUUGAAGAUUUUGCAUGGGUUUGAUUCGGUUAGAAAUAAACCAUUUCUGGAAUGUGGUGAUUAUAUAACACGGCGAAAUUUAUGACUAAAUUAUAGAAUAAGCGGUUGCUGUUGGUAAAGUAAAUUACUGACUAUGUACUGAUCAUCUAAAAUACAACGAUUGAAUUACCCUCCAUUUACGAUGAAAUGUCAUAGUUAUUUUCUUGUAGUGAUAAGUAUUUAGCUUUUGGUUUAUAUUGGUUCAGGUUUGUUCACUGGACAUUGGCUAGACUAUCUAGGCAUGUAGUGUUGAUACACUGUAUUUAAACUAUCAACAUUCUGAAGAUUAGACUGAUUUGUUUCCAAUUAUUUUAUUUUGGCUGUCUC